AGGAGCCGGAUGAGCGGAGACGUUCACGUCCGGUUCUGUGAGCGCCUCGGGGGGAGGGUCCCCGGGGCGACUCGAC
rnacentral:ncRNA from 1 species